GCUCCUAGGUUGAAUACAGAGAUUAUAAAAUCUUCUGAUAAUUCACAAACUCAACAAUCUCCAUAUUUAUUUUCACCUGGUGUUAGCCCAACUUCUUUUCUAGAAUCACCUGUUUUCCUUUCCAACUCAUUGGUUCAACCAUCUCCAACUACUGGAAAGUUCCAAUUUGUUCCAAAUGGUAAUGGUAGAAGCUCCAUGAUGUUCUUGGAUUCCUCUAAUAGGGUUAAAGAAAAUUUCUUUGAGGACACUAAUAACACUUCUUUUGCCUUUAAGCCUUUCCCAGAUUCAGCUCCUGUAUCUCGUGAUCAUGUGAAUCCACCUUUCACGUCUACACAAUCUUUUCAACAUAAUGAAACUCUAGUUCAAGCUGAAAGACAAUUCCCUCCACAAAAGAUUGAACCAACACAAA